AUCAUUUCUUGUAAACCUAAAUCCCAGCGUCGUUCCUCUGCUUAUUUACUUCUCUCUAUCUUCCUUGGCCGAGAACUCAACCAAAGCCCUUCACGCCACCAGCAGCACCAUCGGAAAAUACUAGCCUCAACCCAUCCUCCGGCCAUCAUUAACAACCACCAAGGAUACCAAAACCUAACUCAAUCGACUCAAACACUUUGCUCAUCUCUAAAAAACCUUUAACCCAAAAUAAAAUUCGAGACUCACACACGCCCCGAACUGCCGUAAAUCGGCAACAAGGCUUGAUCGACCGUCACUAAAGGGGGAAUCAGGUUAGCCACUGUCUAGACCCUAAAAAAACCUUCCUUUAUAUUCCAAAGAGAACGAAAACAAGACCCAUAAAACCCAUUCUCCAACACGUCUAAGGGAGACCGACUCUCCAACGCUCAGCUACAGGGACCGAUAGCCGACAACUACCUAACCGAGGAGACCACACAUCUAAGGAUUCACGAUUCCUUAUUUUCACUCUCGACGAAAUCAACAGUGCUAAAGAAAACUCCAAACAGAAGGUGCUGUUUGACGUAAGCCAUGAUGACAUUCGGUGGCUCAGGCGUGUUGGCUUCAUGUAGGAGCUGGAACUGGCACGAGUAUGAGUCUGUAAUAAAUAAAAAUAAACAAUAUUAAUAAUAUAAUAAUAAUUAUUAUUA